UUGUAGGCUGCAACUCGCCUACAUGAAGCUGGAAUUGCUAGUAAUCAUAGGUCAGCAUACUAUGGUGAAUACGUUCCCGGGCCUUGUACACACCGCCCGUCACACCAUGAGAGUUGAGAAUACCCGAAGUCCAUGUCAAAGUGGCCGAAGGUAGGCUUGAUGAUUGGGGUGAAGUCGUAACAAGGUAGC
rnacentral:rRNA from 1 species